UGGUGCAGGCAACCCCAGGGUUAUUGGAAAGGGGACCGUUGCACUGUAGGAGAAGGAGUAGCAGGUCUCACAGUGAACCGGUCUCUGUUCCAGAACUCUCAUCUUCAAGUGCCAACUC
rnacentral:pre_miRNA from 17 species